UACGGGAGGCAGCAGUAAGGGAUAUUGGUCAAUGGUGGGAACACUGAACCAGCCAUGCCGCGUGAGGGAAUGAGGCCCUACGGGUCGUGAACCUCUUUUGACCGGGGACAAGGACGCCCACGCGAUGGGCGUUUGAGGGUACCGGUGGAAUAAGCGUCGGCUAACUCCGUGCCAGCAGCCGCGGUAAU
rnacentral:rRNA from 1 species